GACGAACGCUGGCGGCGUGCCUAAUACAUGCAAGUCGAGCGUGAACCACAGGAGGGGUAACCCUCCUGCGGGGAAAGCGGCGAACGGGUGAGUAACACGUGGGCAACCUGCCCUCGACACUGGGAUAACCCCGGGAAACCGGGGCUAAUACCGGAUACCCUCGGACGGUCGCAUGGCCGACCGAGGAAAGCUCCGACGGUCGAGGAUGGGCCCGCGGCCUAUCAGCUUGUUGGCGGGGUAACGGCCCACCAAGGCGACGACGGGUAGCUGGCGUGAGAGCGUGGCCAGCCACACUGGGACUGAGACACGGCCCAGACUCCUACGGGAGGCAGCAGUAGGGAAUCUUGCGCAAUGGGCGAAAGCCUGACGCAGCGACGCCGCGUGCGGGAUGAAGGCCUUCGGGUUGUAAACUGCUUUUGUCAGGGAAGAAAUCUUCUGGGUUAAUACCUCGGGAGGAUGACGGUACCUGAAGAAUAAGCACCGGCUAACUAC
rnacentral:rRNA from 1 species